AAAAAAAUAGCUUGUUGAAUUUAUAAUAAGUAUUUUCUGCCCAGUGAUUAUUUAAAUGGCCGCGGUAUUUUGACUGUGCAAAGGUAGCCUAAUCAUUUGUCUAUUAAUUGUGGACUGGAAUGAAUGAAUUUACGGAAAUAGAAUUGUCUCCUUUUUUUUUUUUUAAUUUUCUUUUUAGGUGAAGAAGCCUAUAUUUUUAAAUAAGACGAGAAGACCCUAUUGAUCUUUAUUAUCAUUAUAAUAAUUUUUAUUUUUUUUAUUGUAUUUUAAUUUAGUUGGGGCAACUGAGGAGGAGUUUUUAUUCUCUUUUAUUAAUAUAUUGAUCCUUUUUUUUGAUUAUAAGAAAAAUUUACCAUAGGGAUAACAGCGUUAUUAUUUUGGAGAGUUCUUAUCAAUAAAGUAGUUUGCGACCUCGAUGUUGGACUAGGAUACCUGA
rnacentral:rRNA from 1 species